UAGGGGUUCUGAGAGGAAGGUCCCCCACACUGGUACUGAGACACGGACCAAACUCCUACGGGAGGCAGCAGUGGGGAAUAUUGCACAAUGGGGGAAACCCUGAUGCAGCGACGCCGCGUGAGCGAAGAAGUAUUUCGGUAUGUAAAGCUCUAUCAGCAGGGAAGAAAAUGACGGUACCUGACUAAGAAGCCCCGGCUAACUACGUGCCAGCAGCCGCGGUAAUACGUAGGGGGCAAGCGUUAUCCGGAUUUACUGGGGUAAAGGGAGCGUAGACGGCAUGGCAAGUCUGAUGUGAAAGCCCGGGGCUCAACCCCGGCCCGCCGUUGAAACUGGCAGUCUCGAGUUGGAGAGAAGUAUGCGGAAUGCGCGGUGUAGCGGUGAAAUGCAUAGAUAUCGCGCAGAACUCCGAUUGCGAAGGCAGCAUGCCGGCUCCACACUGACGCUGAGGCACGAAAGCGUGGGUAUCGAACAGGAUUAGAUACCCUGGUAGUCCACGCAGUAAACGAUGAAUGCUGGCUGUCCGGGGGGACUGACCCCUGGGUGGCGAAGCGAAAGCGAUAAGCAUUCCACCUGGGGAGUACGCCGGCAACGGUGAAACUCAAAGGAAUUGACGGGGGCCCGCACAAGCGGAGGAACAUGUGGUUUAAUUCGAUGAUACGCGAGGAACCUUACCCGGGAUUGAAAUGUAGAUGACUGAUGGUGAAAACCGUCUUCCCUUCGGGGCUUCUAUGUAGGUGCUGCAUGGUUGUCGUCAGCUCGUGUCGUGAGAUGUUGGGUUAAGUCCCGCAACGAGCGCAACCCUUAUUGUUAGUUGCUACGCAAGAGCACUCUAGCGAGACUGCCGUUGACAAAACGGAGGAAGG
rnacentral:rRNA from 1 species